rnacentral:piRNA from 1 species
UUUAAAGUAACACUGAUUGGGGCAG